UUCAGCAGUCAGCAGUCACUGUAUUUGAGUCGAUUCAUUAAUUUAAACCCUGUAUAUCAAAUUCAGCCUUUAUUGGGUAAAUACUCUUACUGCAAAAAAAAAAGUACAUCAGAUUAGGUUUGGAAGACAUCCUGAAAACACAUGUGUAAUGUAUUUACGUAAUCAAUUUAGUCAGCUUCAACAAGCAACAAAGACGCUAUGUAAGGUGUCAUGGUCAUACAAAACACGUGGAAGUCGUGAAGAGUGGCGGAAUGCGAAAAGUUUGAUUUGCACGUGCUUUUCCUAAAGGCGAACACGUGGUUUGAUCAGUCAUGGAGCGGCAAUGGAAGAAAAGACAUGGUCGGGGACAUUAUUUCACACAGGUGAAUAGUUUGGACGGGGAUUAAGAUAUUGAGCCUUUGUGCGACAUGAUGACGUUAUGCAGGGAGGAGCGCUUGAGAGACAGCAACCAUGAAAGAGGUCGAAUGGUGUCGAAGAAAAAAUGUCCAGCAAUGUCAACUUGCGAUAAUAAAUGUUUAGUCUCUCAA